CUUUUCUUUUCCUGCCUGGGACGGAAAGGACGCCCCGCCGCGCGGCAGUCCUGGGGCGCGGCCGGGGCGGGUGACGUCACGCGCCCUUAGGCCCCGCCCCUGGCUCGGAGGCUCCCCCUGGCUCGGAGGCUCCCCCUCCCCCGCCCGCCACGAGGCCCGCAGGUCCCCGUCGGCCCCGCCCCUCCGGCGGCCAGGUCCUCCAGCCGUCCCGGCAUGCCUCUCGCUCACUCGCUCGCUUUAGCGAGAGCGGCUCGGCGGGGUGCCGGGGGCUGCUGCGGGGAGCGGGCCUUUCUAGCCUGCCCUCUCGUUCUCUCUUUAGCAACAUGGCGGGCGUGGAGGCGGCGCAGGCGGCGGCCGCAGAGAGGCACCUGAACGGCGAGCUGGAGCCGGACGACAAGGACGACGGCGCGGCCGCCACGGCUGAGGAAACGGCCAAGAAGAAGCGCCGCAAGAAGAAGAAGGGCAAGGCCGGAACCGCAGGACAACAGGAAACGGAGGGAGAAUCGGGGACUUCUAUCAAUGAGGUAGUCAAACAGCUGGAAAAACAGGCCCUGGAGGACAAAGAAAAAGAAGCAAAAGAAGAAAGGGCAGAAGUAGGAGAGGAUAUCAAAAUGCUAGGGAAUGCACAUGUGACAUUCAUAACUUUGAAUGUGAAUGGGAUAAACUUGCCCAUCAAGUGA
rnacentral:lncRNA from 1 species